rnacentral:tRNA from 1 species
GGAUAUAUAGCUCAGUGGUUGAGUCCUUGCUUAUUAUGCAUAAAGCCCUGAGUUCAAUUUCCAGUACUGCCA